rnacentral:rRNA from 1 species
UGCGUAGGCGGCCCGUUAAGUCCGGGUGAAAGCCCACUGCUCAACAGUGGGACUGCCCUGGAUACUGGCGGGCUUGAGUCCAGACGAGGUUGGCGGAAUGGAUGGUGUAGCGGUGAAAUGCAUAGAUACCAUCCAGAGCCCCGAUUGCGAAGGCAGCUGACUAGGCUGGUACUGACGCUGAGGCACGAAAGCGUGGGAGCGAACA